rnacentral:rRNA from 1 species
UACGUAGGGGGCAAGCGUUGUCCGGAAUUACUGGGCGUAAAGCGUGCGUAGGCGGCUUGUCGCGUCGACUGUGAAAACCCGUGGCUCAACCAUGAUGGUCUGACAGUCGAUACGGGCAGGCUAGAAUUCGGUAGGGGAGGACUGGAAUUCCUGGUGUAGCGGUGAAAUGCGCAGAUAGUCAAGGAGGAACACCGGUGGCGAAGGCGGGUCUCUGGGCCGAUAUUGACGCUGAGGAGCGAAAGCGUGGGGAGCGAACAG